AAUUUAUAUUGAUUGAGCUAUAUUAUUUCCUUAAUGUCCAUUUGCAUAUAUAUCAUGCAUGUUCAGGACAAGGUCAAAUUAACAAUCAAAACAAUAUGUAGGUUCCGCCGGUUGGGGUCGCCCAGGAGGAAGAGAGAAAAAUUGAACUUGAAAAUGAAAAUUGCCAUUAUUCGCAAUUGCCUAGCCCUCCAUUGUAAAAUACAGAAAACAACCAUUUAGAAAAAAAAAACAUAUAUUUUGUCAAUGUAUUGCGAUAAUUUUAACACUGAUCAAAAUAACGAAUUGUUACUUUACCAGAUAGCGAAUAUGAAAUCCUGCCUUUUUUCUACCAGUCAAUCAAAAUUAAAAUAUGCUCCAUAUUUCUUUUUUUUCGCGUUAUUGAUCAACCCUUGUUUUGAUUUACGUCCAGUGGCAAAUAUUUCAUUUAAGUUAAGGACGAGAGCAAAUUAACAAUUACUAGUAAUUAGCGUCCCCAUUCUCAGCGGACGUGGCUUCGAUUAAUGUUCUGAUUACUUUAUCUUCUAAAUUAUCUUUCCUUUAACAUUAACAAAUAUUAAAAAAAGUCAUUUAACUUGUGUCAUGGCAACAACUCGUAUAAGUCGUCAAUUGAAAAUGUUAGCAAUAUAACUUAUAUUUGUAGAUCUAAAAAAAAAAAAAAACAAUUUGCAUUGAAACAAUGUUGAAAAUUUUGUCAGAAAUUAACUUUUAUUGUUUGAAUCUGUGUUUACAUUGAACAGAUUGAAAUUAUAUUAUUGAUAUUGAAUAAAUACAAC
rnacentral:lncRNA from 1 species